GAUGAACGCUGGCGGCGUGCUUAACACAUGCAAGUCGAACGGAAAGGCUCCUGCUUGCAGGGGUACUCGAGUGGCGAACGGGUGAGUAACACGUGGGUGAUCUGCCCUGCACUUCGGGAUAAGCCUGGGAAACUGGGUCUAAUACCGGAUAGGACGAUGGUUUGGAUGCCAUUGUGGAAAGUUUUUCGGUGUGGGUUGAGCUCGCGGCCUAUCAGCUUGUUGGUGGGGUAAUGGCCUACCAAGGCGUCGACGGGUAGCCGGCCUGAGAGGGUGUACGGCCACAGUGGGACUGAGAUACGGCCCAGACUGCUACGGGAGGCAGCAGUGGGGAAUAUUGCACAAUGGGCGCAAGCCUGAUGCAGCGACGCCGCGUGGGGGAUGACGGCCUUCGGGUUGGAAACUCCUUUCGCGAGGGACGGAGCGCAAGUGACGGUACCUGGAGAAGAAGCACCGGCUAACUACGUG
rnacentral:rRNA from 1 species